UUUGCAGCUAGAGAGGAGGAACUUCUUCACCCCAAGGCUUGAAGGCAGUAGGAACCUACAAUGAGCUUCCUGAGGAGUCCUGGCUGUCCUGACCAUAGUUUGUGGAUCAGAACCAAGUGUCAGGUGGGCCAAGGGAUCGGUGUCAAAAUCAGAAGUCUGAAUCUGGUCUGUGAACCUGGGACAAUCUCAGGCUGAAGGAUAUGAUACUCUCAAGUGAAGUGAGAAUGCACAGUUGCUUCCAAAGCCCUUGUAAUGAGGAGCCAUCUAGCAAGCUGACAUGACAAGACUCUGCUAAUCUGAGUCUUCUGCCUGUGAAUCUGGUCACAUCGCGGUCAACACUGAUGCAUUUGCAUUAAUCCUGCUCCUGUCCAUACAUCUUAAUUCACCCCGAGAGCACUGCUAAAUUCUUUUGUUAAUCGUUUUCUCCCUGUCUCCCCCCGUGAAGCGAAGUUCAUUCUGUGCCCAGCGCUGAUGCAGCCAGGUUAAUAACUAUCGAUGUCGCCACGUUAAUAACGGCCUUGCUGCCCGUGAAUCGGAGCCUCCCCCUGACGAGGUGGUGGACAUGACCCACUUAAUCAUUACAUCUCUCCGUCCACGGAUCUCAGUUCACCCUGUGAAAUUUUAAUCAUCCUGACUAGCUAAUCAC